CUUGGUGAUUUUAGCGAUCUGGAUCCACUCCAUCCCAUUCCGAACUGGAUAGUGAAACGGAUCAGCGCCGACAAUAGUGCGAUGUGAUGUUGCGCGAAGAUAGGUCAUCGCCAGGG
rnacentral:rRNA from 1 species